ensembl:lncRNA
CUUUUUUCAAGAUAGAUUUAUAUGUCUUUCCCAAAAAGGGCACUUAGAAACUCCAAAAGGACACCAAAGGAGCGCAUAUAAGCACAUAUGAAAGGGAAAAAAAUCUGAAUUUUAUAGUAUGUGUACAGUGCAACAGCAAAGAGCCUUUUUACAUUUUAAAGAAGUCAAGUUGCGAUACCGAACAGGACCACAUGGAGAUGCCAAAAAAAUAAAACCUAAACCAACCGCCUGCUGACUGCAUGUAUCUACUACUGUAGACAGAACCUUUCAUUAUCGUGAAUGUGUGUGGAAACUAUUUGAAUGUACGGAAAUGUCUGUACUGUGCAUAAAUAGGCUGCAAUGUGGGAUCAGUGUGUCAAGAGCACUCAUACACGCAUUAUUAUAACGGACUCACGCGUGCUUACUGUACGACUCAUGUACGCCACCGCAAUCGCCUUUACCUUGCUUGCAGUCUUCAUCCAUCAAAACUCUACUAGCGAGACUGGUUAUCCAGUCGAGAAAACGUAGUUUGCGUCUCAUCUGGCCAUACAGCGGUGAGAUGUUGACAAUCCGUUCAGUCUCUGUACUUCACACAGCGCGACGUGUGUGAGGGCUCGCGCUCUUCAGAGACAAUCACUAUGACAGAUGUUACGUCCACAGGGACGUGUAUUUAUUAUUUUUUUUUUAAAUUCCAUUUUUGUUCUUGAAUUUGUUUCAUUGCUGUUCACAGAUGUGGGUGUGGUUGAAUGCCCUUUGUGUUUUUGCUCUGUCUCUCCCUUUUUCUCUCUCGCUCUGCUACUCCUCAGGGAAAAUCAUCACCACCUGUAGCUCGUUUGUGAGCGUGCCUGAAGACCAAGAGGAUGUAAGGGCAGUUUACACUCUGCCUGGGAACACACUUCUCCCCUGCUCCAGACUGAACCCUGUGCUAGCUUUUCGUGCAGAGACUAUAGUUGUGAUUAGCAGUGGCUAACGUUUAUUUCUGCAUGGACUGUUAAUGGAUGUUGUCCCAGGUUGUGAUUGAGCAAAAGGUAUUGUGGCUCUUUUGUCUCAAGUGAUUCUAGUCUGUGAUUAGAGGGAUGCUGUAGGGGGAGAGUGCCUCUUUCUUUUUCUAUUGUAUUCGGUUGCCUCUGUUUUUGUAUAGCAAGGGAGGUGAGGGAAGUUGGCUGUAUUUUUCUUUUCUUUUCUUUUAAGGUGAGUUAGAGUUUUUCCUUAAAUUGGUUAGUGGACUUUUGUUUGUUAUUUUAGGCCUUGCCCUCCCCCGAGCCUUUGCUCCCAUUUAUAUUGUAUUAUUUUCUGUCUUGUAAAUAAAAUUAUUUUUGUAUAUAUCA